GAAAUGCGAUAAGUAAUGUGAAUUGCAGAAUUCAGUGAAUCAUCGAAUCUUUGAACGCACCUUGCGCUCCUUGGUAUUCCUUGGAGCAUGCCUGUUUGAGUAUCAUGAAAUCUUCAAAGUAAAUCUUUUGUUAACUCAAUUGGUUUCUACUUUGGUAUUGGAGGUCUUUGCCGCUUCACACCUGCUCCUCUUUGUUCAUUAGCUGGAUCUCAGUGUUAUGCUUGGUUCCACUCGGCGUGAUAAGUUAUCUAUCGCUGAGGACACUGUAAAAGGUGGCCAAGGUAAAUGCAGAUGAACCGCUUCUAAUAGUCCAUUGACUUGGACAAUACUUUUAUGAUCUGAUCUCAAAUCAGGUAGGACUACCCGCUGAACUUAAGC
rnacentral:misc_RNA from 1 species